rnacentral:rRNA from 1 species
GACGAACGCUGGCGGCGUGCUUAACACAUGCAAGUCGAGCGGUAAGGCCCUUUCGGGGGUACACGAGCGGCGAACGGGUGAGUAACACGUGGGUGACCUGCCCUCCAGCUCUGGGAUAAGCCUGGGAAACUGGGUCUAAUACCGGAUAUGACUCCAUGACGCAUGUUGUGGGGUGGAAAGCCUUGUGCGGCUGAGGAUGGGCCCGCGGCCUAUCAGCUUGUUGGUGGGGGGAUGGCCUACCAAGGCGACGACGGGUAGCCGGCCUGAGAGGGCGACCGGCCACACUGGGACUGAGACACGGCCCAGACUCCUACGGGAGGCAGCAGUGGGGAAUCUUGCGCAAUGGGCGAAAGCCUGACGCAGCGACGCCGCGUGAGGGAUGACGGCCUGGU